rnacentral:rRNA from 1 species
CCCUUAGAUGUUCUGGGCCGCACGCGCGCUACACUGACUGCUCCAACAAGUUACCUGGGCUGACAAGCAUCCGGGAAAUCUUGCAAAGGCAGUCGUGAUGGGGAUAGAUUCUUGUAAUUUUUGAUCUUCAACGAGGAAUUCCUAGUAAACGCAAGUCAUCAGCUUGCAUUGAUUACGUCCCUGCCCUUUGUACACACCGCCCGUCACAUCUACCGAUUGAAUGGAGAGGCAAAAUCUUCGGACCGUGACGCUUGGGAGUCAAAUCUCGGGCUGUCGUGGGAAGUGGAUUAAACCUUUCUAUUUAGAGGAAGGUAAAGUCGUAACA